CGGGACGGGUGAGUAAUGUCUGGGAAACUGCCUGAUGAGGGGGAGUAACUACUGGAAACGGUAGCUAAUACCGCAUAACGUCGCAAGACCAAAGAGGGGGACCUUCGGGCCUCUUGCCAUUGGAUGUGCCCAGAUGGGAUUAGCUAGUAGGUGGGGUAACGGCUCACCUAGGCGACGAUCCCUAGCUGGUCUGAGAGGAUGACCAGCCACACUGGAACUGAGACACGGUCCAG
rnacentral:rRNA from 1 species